rnacentral:rRNA from 1 species
UACAGGGGGGGCAAGCGUUGUUCGGAAUUACUGGGUGUAAAGGGUUCGUAGGCGGUGCGGCAAGUUGGGAGUGAAAUCUCUGGGCUUAACCCAGAGGCUGCUUCCAAAACUGCUGUGCUUGAGUGUGGGAGAGGCGCGUGGAAUUGCAGGUGUAGCGGUGAAAUGCGUAGAUAUCGGAAGGAACAUCAGUGGCGAAAGCGGCUUCCUGGACCAGUACCGACGUUCAGGCACGAAAGCGUGGGGAGCAAACAGG